rnacentral:rRNA from 1 species
GUCAAGUCUGCUGUUAAAGCGUGGAGCUUAACUCCAUAUCGGCGGUGGAAACUGAUGAACUAGAGGGUGGUAGGGGUCACGGGAAUUCCCAGUGUAGCGGUGAAAUGCGUAGAUAUUGGGAAGAACACCAGCGGCGAAAGCGCGUGACUGGGCCAUUACUGACACUCAUGGACGAAAGCUAGGGGAGCGAAAGGGAUUAGAUACCCCUGUAGUCCUAGCCGUAAACGAUGGACACUAGUGUUGCCCGAUCGACCCGGGCAGUGCCGUAGCUAACGCGUUAAGUGUCCCGCCUGGGGAGUACGCACGCAAGUGUGAAACUCAAAGGAAUUGACGGGGGCCCGCACAAGCGGUGGAGUAUGUGGUUUAAUUCGAUGCAACGCGAAGAACCUUACCAGGGCUUGACAUGUCGCGAAUCCCCUUGAAAGGGGGGAGUGCCUUCGGGAGCGCGAGCACAGGUGGUGCAUGGCUGUCGUCAGCUCGUGUCGUGAGAUGUUGGGUUAAGUCCCGCAACGAGCGCAACCCACGUUUCUAGUUGCCAGCAUUCAGUUGGGCACUUUAGAGAGACUGCCGGUGACAAACCGGAGGAAGGUGUGGAUGACGUCAAGUCAGCAUGCCCCUUACGUCCUGGGCUACACACGUACUACAAUGCUUCGGACAGAGGGUUGCCAGCCCGCGAGGGUGCGCUAAUCCCGUAAACCGAGGCUCAGUUCAGAUUGCAGGCUGCAACUCGCCUGCAUGAAGGCGGAAUCG